rnacentral:tRNA from 1 species
AUUAUUAAAGGUUUUUUACAAAAUUUUAAAAGAAUUUUUUUGUAAAAUAGCGUUUUCUAAUAUUU